UGACAAAAGAAUGACAGAGGUCAGAUGUAGAACCAUAAUUAUUAUCCUACAGAAACACACACAAACACAAUUAAUUAUAUUUGUGUACUUACUGUUACCAUUUCACAAAACCAUACAGUAAUGUUCACGCUUGGCUAUAUGCACUGGUCGGGUGACGUGCCUAUAAAGUAAUAUUGUACAAUGAGGAGGAUAUAAGAGACAUUAAUAAUAAUUAUGGUUCUACAUCAUUCUUUUGUCAAUGAUAGAGUCGUAUUGCCACACUUUUUGCCUGCUGCAUUUUCGGCACCUUGAAAUGACAAAGGCAAAAAGGUUUUGUUGAAAAAACAAAUGGUAAUCAAUAAAUACAAGUAUUGCAUUUGAUCUAAGGCCUUGUGUAUUUAUAGGAACCCAUAACUUAUGUACUAGGCAGGGUUUCACAGAAUCUGGAAUCAACAUUAACUUGUGUAUGUGUAUCACACUGGCCAUUGUAAUAUAGCACAAGAGAGAGGUUGGUUGGAUAACCACACAGCUGUGGUACAGCCAUAGCCAAGAAGCUGAAGGUUGAUAAAUUUAUUAUCUUCAAACUGAUGGAACAUUGGUGUAGCUCAAUUCAAUGCAAAAUGCAGAGUGGUAGAUAACACCAGCGCAAACAGUCAGAGUGAGGAAAUCCAAGGACAUCUUCAGUCAAAUAGAAUCACUGACCAUCUCUCGACCAAUCAGAAUAUAAUAGAUAAUUUGACUGGACCUGACUGUUGUAUCAAAAUGAUCUAAAUCAAAGAGAACCAAUUCAUCUAAGGAAAUAAGUAUUUGCCUAAUUACAAAAAAAUUAAGAAAGUCACUUAAGUUCACUUUACCCUUUUUUUUCUGGGUGAAGGGUAUGAAACAGAAAAUAAAAAAAACUUUACAGCAUGGCAUUGCUAACUAUAAUGUCAUCAAAAACCAAUUGGAAUCACCUAGCAGUGCCAAUAAGGCUCUGGGAAGUGUUUUUGUGUGCCUUUUAGGUAGAUAGUCCACUAGUUUUACAUCAAAAACUACAUAGUGUUUAUUUAAACCAUAAUUAAUUCAGCAUAAGAGAUUGGGUGCAAGAAAAUUUACUUUACCCUUCUUUCUUUUUGGGGGGUUUGGUUUGGGAGUCUGAAAAUUGCUGGGGCUGUGGCUGGGUCGGGACCUGGAGCUGUAUCUGGGGCUGAUGGUUGUCCGGAGACUCUGAGGUCCGCAGCUAAUUUGCUGGGGCUGUGGCUGGGUCGGGACCUGGGGCUGAUGGUGCACCGGAGACUCUGGGGGUUGGGGCUCUGUUGUGGAGGAUAUGCUCAUGCUGAGCCUUAUUCUGGAGCUGUUGGAUAUGCUGGUCAGGCUGGGGCUGGAGCUGAGACAUCUGUUAAGAAGAAGUCCGUUCUGCAGCUGGAGGGUUGCAGGUUCGAGUCCAGCUCUGCCUGCCCCCAUCAAAGUGUCCUUGAGCAAGAUACUGAACCCAAAACUGCUCCCAGUGUGCAGGUUUGCACCUUGCAUGGCAGCAACCGGUGUAUGCAUGUGUGGGUGAAUGCAAGGCAUACAUUAUAAAGUGUUUUAAGUGCUCAGAGGAAUCUGCUACAAGGAAAUUGGUCACCAUUAUUAGAAAGCUCAUCAGUUGCAUAUGUUAAAUGUAUCUGUUAUAAGCGAAUUGAGAGAACAUGAGUAAUUUUGGGCACAGUUCACAUCCAUCCAAAUGUCGUCCUGUUUAGGAUAAGUCAAGGUCUGUGGGAUGCAUGCAUAGCGUGAAAGGAAAAUUUUAUAAAACUGUAGAUUCAGUGACAAGAUGACAGAAUCUUUGACCAACCAAAAGGAAAACUCCAGCGUAAAUCAACCCAUAUCCCUAUUCCUCGAAAUCAGUGAGUGUUGUCGUUAGGUAGAGAAACAAGAAAAUUUGAUACAACAAGAAUCGAAUAGCACAAUGGCAGUUAACGCUAAGUAAUGAGUUUCAGUUUUCUGUGAUUCAGUUAUGGUCAGCUCCCACUUCGCAAAUUUGGUCUAUGUCAAUUUUCUUUGUUCCUGUUCCUACUGACAGCAUUCUGUGAAUCUCAAGCAACAGAAAUAUGGGUUGAUUCAUGCCAGAUUGUUCUACGCAGUUAGAAAUUAUAAUGUUGAUUGUUUGAUCAUAGGAUAGUAUUGAUGGUAAUGUAAUGUAAUGUGCUUUGAGCUUCAUAUUGACUACCAUCCAAUUCAUGAAGCAUGAGUACUCUUGCUGCACUCUGCCUCAAUCUUUUUACUUUUGCUGAGGCUUGCAUAGCAGGCGAUGCAGCACUUCCUAAUGGCCUGGUUCUCAACCUGGCAAGCAGGGCAAUGUCUGAAUAUUGGCUUUGUCAUUCUGAAAUAUACAAUACACACACACAAAGGCUAUUACAAUAUUUUAAUAUGUUACGAUAUUUUGAAUUAAGCACAUUUUUAAGGCAAACAGGUUGUCAUACAAAUAUAACCACAACAAACACAUACAGAAAUAGCCUAAAGGCACAUUCAAUGUCAAAAUUAAAUUCAUUUAGACCAACCCAACUGUGAAUGGACACUGUUGCCCUACUAUUAGGCUUGGAAUAAGGUCUUUAUUACCGUCAAAAAUACACAGGUCUGAAUGGUUUCAGUCAUUGAAUAUACAUGUGGAAGCCGUCUAACACAAACAAAGCCAUUCUUGAAUGAAACACUCCCUGUCAUACCAAAGGCACUGGGAUGGCUUGAUAGUCUCAGGUUAUCUACUGUUGAUCUAAAAAUUGGGUAGGUGAUGUCAGUCAGGGAAAUUUCACACUAUGAAAGAAAAAAAAAACACUUACUGGAUUACCAAUGAUGAACUUCAUCAGCAAUUAGGGUAUAUUUUAGCUGGACUAAUUCCAUGUCUUGAGUGAUUUUAAACACUCUUAAAUAGCCACGCUCUACAGUGUAUACAUCAUCCAAACAAACACAGCAUUGAAACUCCUGGCCGAGAGUUUUGUUAAACGACACCUAUUCAGCUUUCGACUGAAGUACUGAACAGUGUUGUAGAGUUGAACACACUAGCCUAAAGGCCUGUUCACACCGGGACGAAUAUCGCGCGCGAUUUUCGCCGACGUUUAACGCCUCGUGACUAAACAACGGCCAAUGUGUCAAUGUGAGUGUGCACACCGACGCGAAAAACGCAAGGCGUAAAAGCGUCAUUUUUUAAAAAAACGCCUCGGGUUCUGUUUUUUGGUUUGACGCGCCGCGUUAAAAACUGGCCGACCAAUAAGAUUGGCGCAUUUGUUCACGUGUCUGGAGCUGCUGAAGUCACAGUAAAACACGACUUGGUGGCGCUCAAGCACAAAACAGUCUUGCCGAGCACACAUUGAUACAAAGACGACCAAGAGGAAGUAAGUAGACAAAGAAGACCCCUACAAACUAUCGGUUAUGGGUGUGGGCUAUGGGUGCUCUGCCACUUCUUGGCCAUACCAAUAGUUGUGUAAUAUUUCUGUAUUUUUGCUGUUUUUUUUUUCUUUUACAUUCAAGAAAUAUAGUUGAGAGUGUCUAUUUCAUAAAUGUUUAUUUGCACUACCAUUUCUGACUACCAUCUCUCAUAUAUAUGCCAUUUCUAAUAUCUGCAUUUUUUAUCUUCUUUAACUUUAUUAAUAUCAUAAAUAUGUUUAAUUGUACUACCGUUCAGCACCAGCGCCACAUACUGUCAGGGAGUGAAUUUGCACGUUCACUCUGCGCAUUGCCAGUGAAAAUCGCUUGGGUGUGAACACAAAAAAACGUCUCGAAAAACGCUGGCGAAACGCGUGCGAUAUUCGUCCCGGUGUGUACAGGCCUUAAUGCUGCACUUGGUGAAAACACUAUAGACCACAAGCUAGAGGCAUUAAAAUCCCCACAACCUGUUACAGACCCAUGAAUGGAUUUACAUUGAAAAUCAAUGCGUUUCAAAAACAUUCAAUACAAUGGAAAUGCAUUUCAGGAACUUUCCUUGACUUAAACUGAAGGUGGGACGUGUGUUUAAUCACAUCUAGACAAGAUAAGCUUUCUGAAAAUGUAUAGUUUAUAUGGAUUUGAAGUUAGCUUACCCUAUUCCCAAGAUGCACGUAGACUAAUCUUUAAUGUUACUGUCUAGAAUACUGUAAGGUGACCAGAUUUCUGAAAUGGAAACCAGGGACACUUCCAUUUUUUUUUUAUGUUUUUAUUUUAAAUUGUUGUGGGUCUCUUAUAUUAUUACAUUAAUAAUUAUUAUGAUUUAGUUUGAUUAUUAGGAUUUUUGCUCUGGUUUUAAUACAAUUUACCAAAAUACUAUUACAAGAUUAAUAAAGCAUUGUAAAAGCAGUUCAAAACAAUAUGCUUGUUAUAACACUAUAACACAAGUAUGACUUUACAAAAUGACUUUACAUUACAAAAAUAAAACAUAAGUAUAAGAUGAUAAGACAAAUAAAACGCCAUUUAACAAAUAUUUUUUAACAUUUUAGAUUUAAUAUUUUACUUUUAACAAUCUGUUUUUACAAUACAGAAAUUACAACUGUUUUAACUUUUAACUAUUUUUAACUAUUGUUUUGCAUUUUAGACUUAUUUUAAGCACAAAGUAAGUUGCACAUGUAUUAUUUUUUACUUUAUUUUAUUAUUAUCACCUGUACCACGUGAUAUAGUUAAAAAAUUAGUUCACUUUCAAAUAAAAAUUUCCUGAUAAUUUACUCACAGGCGCUUCUCUUCUGAAAUGCUUCUAGUGUGAGUUGACCGCGUAGAGGACGGAACAAAACCUUAACGUAACGCACCGCAGACGUGUGCAGUGUAAACGAGGCUUAAAAAAGCAUUGUCCGGAGUCCUCCACUGGGAAGCGAAUAUAGAGGCCGGACCUCUUGGAACUUUAAUUGAAUAGACCAAGCAAAGUGACAGAAUCCUGACACUCAGGCAUCGUUGUAAACUGCCAAAUGAAAAAAAUGUGGAGAGUUAGAAAUGAAACGUCUAGAUAAAAUGUGCAAUAAAAAAAGGGAAAAAAAUGUAUUACCAUUGCAUCAUGCAGUGCAAAAAGGAAGUAGAUUGACGCAGGCAGCAGAAAUAAUAUGUGUAAAUGUAUAUUAUGAGUGAAAAGGGCAAGUUGCCGGUCCUGUUCACCUCCGGUAGGCUAGUAGAUUUCACAGAUCAUAAUAAUGAUGUUAACGACUCAGGGAAGUGUUAUGGGUUUCUCCCUCGGCCGAAAUCGCGUUCCGGCCCUAGUGAAAAAAAAGUAUACUUUAUUGUAUUUGAAAUAUAUUCCCUUUUUCUAUAGUACACUGCAAAUAUACUAACAAAAAAUGUACUAUCAUUAAAUAUAUAAAAAGUAUAUUAGUAUCAUA